rnacentral:rRNA from 1 species
GACGAACGCGGCGGCGUGCCUAAUACAUGCAAGUAGAACGCACAGGAUGCACCGUAGUUUACUACACCGUAUUCUGUGAGUUGCGAACGGGUGAGUAACGCGUAGGUAACCUGCCUGGUAGCGGGGGAUAACUAUUGGAAACGAUAGCUAAUACCGCAUAAGAACAUUUACUGCAUGGUAGAUGUUUAAAAGGUGCAAAUGCAUCACUACCAGAUGGACCUGCGUUGUAUUAGCUAGUUGGUGAGGUAACGGCUCACCAAGGCAACGAUACAUAGCCGACCUGAGAGGGUGAUCGGCCACACUGGGACUGAGACACGGCCCAGACUCCUACGGGAGGCAGCAGUAGGGAAUCUUCGGCAAUGGGGGGAACCCUGACCGAGCAACGCCGCGUGAGUGAAGAAGGUUUUCGGAUCGUAAAGCUCUGUUGUUAAGGAAGAACGUGUGUGAGAGUGGAAAGUUCACACAGUGACGGUACUUAACCAGAAAGGGACGGCUAACUACGUGCCAGCAGCCGCGGUAAUACGUAGGUCCCGAGCGUUGUCCGGAUUUAUUGGGCGUAAAGCGAGCGCAGGCGGUUAGAUAAGUCUGAAGUGAAAGGCAGUGGCUCAACCAUUGUAGGCUUUGGAAACUGUUUAACUUGAGUGCAGAAGGGGAGAGUGGAAUUCCAUGUGUAGCGGUGAAAUGCGUAGAUAUAUGGAGGAACACCGGUGGCGAAAGCGGCUCUCUGGUCUGUAACUGACGCUGAGGCUCGAAAGCGUGGGGAGCGAACAGG